UACGAAGGGGGCUAGCGUUGUUCGGAUUUACUGGGCGUAAAGCGCACGUAGGCGGAUCGUUAAGUCAGGGGUGAAAUCCUGGAGCUCAACUCCAGAACUGCCUUUGAUACUGAAGAUCUUGAGUUCGGGAGAGGUGAGUGGAACUGCGAGUGUAGAGGUGAAAUUCGUAGAUAUUCGCAAGAACACCAGUGGCGAAGGCGGCUCACUGGCCCGAUACUGACGCUGAGGCACGAAAGCGUGGG
rnacentral:rRNA from 1 species